rnacentral:rRNA from 1 species
CCUACGGGGGGCUGCAGUCGAGAAUCAUUCACAAUGGGGGAAACCCUGAUGGUGCGACGCCGCGUGGGGGAAUGAAGGUCUUCGGAUUGUAAACCCCUGUCAUGUGGGAGCAAAUUAAAAAGAUAGUACCACAAGAGGAAGAGACGGCUAACUCUGUGACAGCAGCCGCGGUACUACAGAGGUCUCAAGCGUUGUUCGGGAUCACUGGGCGUAAAGCGUGGGUAGGCUGUUUCGUUAGUCGUGUGUUAAAGGCGCGGGCUCAACCCGCGGAAGGCAAAUGAUACUGGGAGACUAGAGUAAUGGAGGAGGAACCGGAAUUCUCGGUGUAGCAGUGAAAUGCGUAGAUAUC